AACAGGUUAAUAUUCCUGUACUUGGUGUUACUGCGAAGGGGGGACGGAGAAGGCUAUGUUAGCCGGGCGACGGUUGUCCCGGUUUAAGCAUGUAGGCUGAUUGUCCAGGCAAAUCCGGAUAAUCAAGGCUGAGGUGUGAUGACGAGGCACUACGGUGCUGAAGUAACAAAUGCCCUGCUUCCAGGAAAAGCCUCUAAGCAUCAGGUAACAUUAAAUCGUACCCCAAACCGACACAGGUGGUCAGGUAGAGAAUACCAAGGCGCUUGAGAGAACUCGGGUGAAGGAACUAGGCAAA
rnacentral:rRNA from 1 species